CAACUGUAAGGACCUUCCUCUCCAACCCUAACCCUACCCCUAGACUUUCUAUUGGAUUAAUACACGUUUUCAAGACCAGAACAUGUGUGGUCAUGUAGCUCUACGGGUUACGCCUGUGAUGUUCAGGACUCAUUCUUGUAUUUUACACUCUCUGAUGUUUUCUUUUCUUCAUGUCUAGUGUGUGAAUCAUUUCUGGUUUGUCUCUUCAGUGUCUCAUGUGGCCCUGCAGCUUCUCCUCCUCCACCUCCUCCUGAAGCCUUCAUCUUCUUCAUCAUCAGCUGCUCAGUGACUCUGUUGGACGUCUCACCGUGUGGCAGCAGCUCAGGAGUUUGCAGUCAACCAAGGCCGACUCAGAAUCACUCCCACCGGGAAGAUCUGUGAAGGAAGGUCCACCCGGCUGGUCCAGAAGCUCCGGUCCAGCAGAGCAGCGUCAGGAUGGAGACGUAACCGGUGUUGAUGUCACCGCCUUGACGAAUAGAAGAAAAGCCUGUAUUUGGGUAUGUAGGACCGGUAGUCCAGAGGUAGUGAUGGUGG